rnacentral:lncRNA from 1 species
AUGACCGAGGAAAUGGGGGAGAACAAGCCGAUACCGUUUCAGAUUCUCAGGACUCACAAAAUCGGGCAAGGUGCUACUGGAUUCAAGGAGAGAAAGGUCUCCACGGGUCUUCUUAGAGAGGACGUGGGCACUGGGGAAGCCUGUUCUGAAGUAUUUAUUCAAGAGCAUCUUUCAAAAAGUGGCCAACACCUGCCAACCAAUGUGUCAUGGCCGCAUGCCGUCGCAGCUGCUGGGGCAGUGUCAUCAACGGCCUUAACAAAAUCUACGGAGUCCGCACGGCAGGGCGCUGGAAGGAGCCAUUUUAAAACGAAACGCUCCGCAAUAAGACCCACACAGCCUCUAGGAGGAAGGGGACCAUUCACUGGUCGUGGAGGCUCCCACACAGGCUGGGACCCAAAUGCAGCUUAGAAACUCAUGGAUUCUUACGAUUUCAUUGCUCUUCACCUCACCCCAUGUCACCGG